rnacentral:rRNA from 1 species
CCUACGGGAGGCAGCAGUGGGGAAUUUUGGACAAUGGGCGCAAGCCUGAUCCAGCCAUGCCGCGUGCGGGAAGAAGGCCUUCGGGUUGUAAACCGCUUUUGUCAGGGAAGAAAUCCUUUGGGUUAAUACCUCGGAGGGAUGACGGUACCUGAAGAAUAAGCACCGGCUAACUACGUGCCAGCAGCCGCGGUAAUACGUAGGGUGCGAGCGUUAAUCGGAAUUACUGGGCGUAAAGCGUGCGCAGGCGGUUAUGCAAGACAGAUGUGAAAUCCCCGGGCUCAACCUGGGAACUGCAUUUGUGACUGCAUAGCUAGAGUACGGUAGAGGGGGAUGGAAUUCCGCGUGUAGCAGUGAAAUGCGUAGAUAUGCGGAGGAACACCGAUGGCGAAGGCAAUCCCCUGGACCUGUACUGACGCUCAUGCACGAAAGCGUGGGGAGCAAACAGGAUUAGAUACCCUGGUAGUCCACGCCCUAAACGAUGUCAACUGGUUGUUGGACGGCUUGCUGUUCAGUAACGAAGCUAACGCGUGAAGUUGACCGCCUGGGGAGUACGGCCGCAAGGUUGAAACUCAAAGAGUAGUAGGACGUGNGAGAGACGACGACGACGACGACGGAGGGAGGAG